rnacentral:rRNA from 1 species
UCGUUCUUGACAUCCUGCGAACUUGGUAGAGAUACCUUGGUGCCUUCGGGAGCGCAGUGACAGGUGCUGCAUGGCCGUCGUCAGCUCGUGUCGUGAGAUGUUGGGUUAAGUCCCGUAACGAGCGCAACCCUUGUCCUUAGUUGCCAGCGGUCCGGCCGGGAACUCUAGGGAGACUGCCGGUGACAAACCGGAGGAAGGUGGGGAUGACGUCAGGUCAUCAUGGCCCUUACGGCCAGGGCUACACACGUGCUACAAUGGGGCGCACAGAGGGCAGCAAGCGCGCGAGUGCAAGCGAAUCCCUUAAAACGCCUCGUAGUCCGGAUCGGAGUCUGCAACUCGACUCCGUGAAGUCGGAAUCGCUAGUAAUCGCAGAUCAGAAUGCUGCGGUGAAUACGUUCCCGGGUCUUGUACCACACCGAA